GUAGUUCCGGUUGGGAGGGGCGUGGCUGAGGACCGUGAAGCAAUAGGGGCGAGGCCGGGUGUCUGUUCAACUCUCCCGCGUAUCCUCUGUUUCUUCGGCGGCGGACAGUGUUCUGUAAUGUGUCUCCCUUUGCCCGAGCUGAAGGUUUUCCUCGACGGAGUCUUUAGAAUACCGUGGUAGAGGCAGUCUCCACACCACUGUGCUCGAACAGCUCUAUGAAGAGGCCUAUGUGGAGAGGAGAAAAAGCCUCCACCAACAGCCAGCACCAACUUGCCAGCCAUAUAUGAACUCUCGCUAUGUUGCCUCGGCUGGUCUCAAACUCCUGGGCUCAAGUGAUCCUCCCACUUCGGCCUCCCAAAAUGGCGUCUUGCUCUGUCACCCAGGCUGGGGUGCAGUGGUGUGAUCUCAGCUCACUGCAACCUCUGCCUCCUGGGUUCAAGCAAUUCUUCUGCCUCAGCCUCCCGAAGAGCUGUGAUUACAGACGUGUGCCACAAUACCCGGCUAAAGAUGGGGUUUUGCCAUGUUUCCUAUGCUGGUCUGGAACUCAUGAACUCAACAGAUUGUCCCACCUCAGCCUCUCAAAGUGCUGGGAUUACAGCUCAAAGCACCUGUCAUAAAAAUAUUAACUUGUAAUAAAAGUGUUUAGUAACACUAAUAUGUGAUGGCAGUUUCAGGAAAGUCAAUGUUCUGAGCAAGAAGAACAAGGAACAGAAGGUAUAAUGAUAACAGAUGAGAGAGGAAAAAGCAGACUCAAUCAACUCCUACUUUUCCAUCAUUUUUCCGUUACAGAGAAUUAUCCUCAAAUUAGAAGGAGUAGGACCUACAUGGUAAAGAAAAAAUUUACGUGCAAGGCAGAUGAGGAAGUAGGAGAGCAUCCAGCCCCUUCACACAACUUCAUUCUCUGUCUUACCGAAAGAAUGUGAAAUGUGGUGGUAGCUUUACUGGGGACAGGAGAGGUGCCAGAAGUUUGAAGAUGGACUAAUCUCCUUGUUUUCUAAAAGAAGAACCUAUAAGUCUCUGAGCACAUUUUUCUUUGGCAAAAUUCUGGAAUGGAUAAUUAGACAAAUGGUUUGUGAAUCUUUAGAAAAGUGGCAAAAACAAGGCACAGCAUAAAUUCACUAAAAAAUAAGUGGACCUAAACUAAGCAUUCUUUCUUCCUGAUAGGAAUCCUACUUUCCUUGGUCUGACACCUGCAGGGUCAAGUAUGGGCCUUGGAGUCAGCUGAGGCUGAAUUCCAAUUCCAGUUCCACCACUCCAAAAGUGACACUUGGACACCAAAUUCUCUGAGACCCUCCUGUAAUGCAAAUUUAGUGGAGCUACUUUGGGGUUAGCUCUCUCUCCCCCAGGGCCUUCCUUGAGACCAGUUUCACACAUGGUCUCAUUACAAAACAGUAACAACAAAAACCCCAACUUUGGAGGCAUUAAUAAAUAAUGGGGAUUAUAUUAUACAUAACAAAGC